CCUACGGGUGGCAGCAGUGAGGAAUAUUGGUCAAUGGUCGGGAGACUGAACCAGCCAAGCCGCGUGAGGGAGGAAGGUACAGAGUAUCGUAAACCUCUUUUGUCAGGGAACAAAGACUGGGCCGCGUCCCCGGAUGAGUGUACCUGAAGAAAAAGCAUCGGCUAACACCGUGCCAGCAGCCGCGGUAAUACGGGGGAUGAGAGCGUUAUCCGGAUUUAUUGGGUUUAAAGGGUGCGCAGGCGGUCUUGUAAGUCAGCGGUAAAAGCCCGGGGCUCAACCCGGGCCCGCCGUUGAAACUGGCAGUCUCGAGUUGGAGAGAAGUAGGCGGAAUGCGCGGUGUAGCGGUGAAAUGCAUAGAUAUCGCGCAGAACUCCGAUUGCGAAGGCAGCAUGCCGGCUCCACACUGACGCUGAGGCACGAAAGCGUGGGUAUCGAACAGGAUUAGAUACCCCAGUAGUC
rnacentral:rRNA from 1 species